rnacentral:rRNA from 1 species
UACGAAGGGGGCUAGCGUUGCUCGGAAUCACUGGGCGUAAAGGGUGCGUAGGCGGGUCUUUAAGUCAGGGGUGAAAUCCUGGAGCUCAACUCCAGAACUGCCUUUGAUACUGGAGAGCUCGAGUCCGGGAGAGGUGAGUGGAACUGCGAGUGUAGAGGUGAAAUUCGUAGAUAUUCGCAAGAACACCAGUGGCGAAGGCGGCUCACUGGCCCGGUACUGACGCUGAGGUGCGAAAGCGUGGGGAGCAAACAGG